rnacentral:rRNA from 1 species
UCCGUAGGCGGGCGUCUAAGUCAGUGGUGAAAUCUUACAGCUCAACUGUAAAAUUGCCAUUGAUACUGGAUGUCUUGAAUUAGUGUGAAGUGGUUAGAAUGUGUAGUGUAGCGGUGAAAUGCAUAGAUAUUACACAGAAUACCAAUUGCGAAGGCAGAUCACUAACACUAUAUUGACGCCGAGGGACGAAAGCGUGGGGAGCGAACAGGAUUAGAUACCCUGGUAGUCC